CCUACGGGAGGCAGCAGUGGGGAAUAUUGCGCAAUGGGCGAAAGCCUGACGCAGCGACGCCGCGUGAGGGAUGAAGGUCUUCGGAUCGUAAACCUCUGUUAGCAGGGAAGAACGGUCACUGUGCUAAUCAGCAGUGAAUUGACGGUACCUGCAAAGGAAGCACCGGCUAACUCCGUGCCAGCAGCCGCGGUAAUACGGAGGGUGCGGGCGUUAAUCGGAAUUACUUGGAGGAAAGCGCUCGUAGGCGGUAUGUCAAGUCAAGGGUGAAAUCCCCGGGCUCAACGUGGGAACUGCAGUGGAAACUGGCAAACUGGAGUGUGUGGGAGGAUAGUGGAAUUCCAGGUGUAGGAGUGAAAUCCGUAGAUAUCUGGAAGAACAUCAGUGGCGAAGGCGACUAUCUGGCACAUAACUGACGCUGAGGAGCGAAAGCGUGGGUAGCAAACAGGAUUAGAUACCCGUGUAGUC
rnacentral:rRNA from 1 species